ACUCGCACCUUCCCGCUUCGCAUCAGCUGAGAAAAGUAGUGGGCCCGGCUGUCCGCUGCUGCACCGCGCAUACACUGGGUAGCGUCGACACAGACAACAACACAGGCGCGAGACGCGUCUAGCAGCCCUCGUUGCGCUUCUCUUCCUCUAUCUCACGCCCACACCUUCGUCACUGCCUACAUAGAUCAACCAUCUCCCAUAGACCCAACACCAGCCGCGGCAACAACCACGACAGCACCUGCCUAGCGGCACUCGACUAACGACAUACAGCUGGGCGGACAAUCAUGUUUGCCUACCCUUACGGCGACCCUGAUGAUCAAAACGCGCAGGUGGAGUGCACCCUUCCGCGCCAGGCAGGCGACGGUGCUCGCAUACUCGUCCCAGACAGCGACAAUGAGGACAGCCUGGGUCUUCCGAUUUCACAGGAGUCUUCACCCAGUGUCUGCGUGCCGGCGGCGCGCGCCUUCUCGAAGCGGGCGGCGCGCUGCGCAGCAGCCUUACUGCAGCGUCACGACGCCACCGCCUCCGCUGUGCACAAGCACAAGUGUAUGCAGCAGCUUGGUCGUCUCGGCGGCGCCUACCGCUCUCUCGCCCACGGUCAGCCCUUCACGAUUUGGGUGCGCUAUCAAGACCUCAACGCCCGCGUGAUUCGCGAAACCGAAGCAUUCUUUGAAGGGCACAUGGCAGACCACCUUGCCCACCCGCACGUUACACGCAAGAACGGGGUUCUGGCAGCGGCGCCGAAGGCGGCUUUUGGCUUUAAUCCUCAGCGACGCUCGCCUGAGGCUUCACUCGGCUGCCGGGCUCCACUUCCCUCUAGCCCAUCCCCAGCUCAUGCUGCGCACGCCAUGCUGAGCAGCAACGGUGCCGUCGAGGCGCAUGCGUCUCCACCGCAGACGGGCUACUUUCUCUCCAGAGGGGAGCAGUGUGCCUUUUCGUUGCUGUUCAUGGAAGACACUGUGGAUCCGAAUUACACGUCGAGUCCACUGCCGACGUUCCCCACGCAUCACACGUCAGAUGACCGCAGUCAGCGCAUGGGUCUGAGCGAGUCCCUGUGCAAUGCAUUGUCUCACGGGAGUUGCCUCUCCGAUACUCACGCAGCGAUGCCGUUCUGGAUGUACGGCGAAGACGCAGACUCUGUCCGAUGCUCUCCGGCCCCGGCAGCGCACCGCGGUGACGGUCCGAGCGCGGCGCGGCAACACUGUAAGCGCGGCCGCGGCGAUACCACUGGGGCUGAGCCGCAGCACCUCAAGGGGCGACGAGGAGAGCUGGGCACGGCAAGGGCACUCGUCUUCGACGAGCUCAGCACGUCAUCGUCGUCGCAACACACGACACCUCGCGAGGAGAGCGCCACGGCUCGCCGCGGCACACCGGCGCCUCCCUCGCUGUCCGCCACCGUCAUAGAACUUCAGAAUCAGCGGGUGCAGUGGGAUCUGCUCCGUCGGCAGUCCCUCUUCAGUCUGCUUUGAGCGCAUUUUUGUGUGCGUGAGAGAGAGGACGACAGCGAUGUGCCAUCAUCGGACGAUGAGUUGUGGGAACCCGUGGAAAGGCACGGCAUCGCGUUGCCAUGGAAGCGCUCCCUUAACUACCACUGCCCGCCGGCCAUCGCCGCUCCUCCGCUCCUCAAUACUUUUUCUUGCCUUCACGCGCUUCAUCAUGCUCGCGAGCCACCCACCUCCUCCCGCCCACCACUGCCGCCAAGAUGCUCGCCC
rnacentral:misc_RNA from 1 species